rnacentral:rRNA from 1 species
AACGCGAAGAACCUUACCCAGGUUAGAAGUGCAGUGGACGACAUCAGAGAUGGUGUUUCUCGAAAGGGCCGCUGUAUAGGUGCUGCAUGGCUGUCGUCAGCUCGUGCCGUGAGGUGUUGGGUUAAGUCCCGCAACGAGCGCAACCCUUAUCAUUAGUUGCCAACACGCGAGGUGGGGACUCUAGUGAGACUGCCUAGGUUAACUAGGAGGAAGGUGAGGAUGACGUCAAGUCCGCAUGGCCUUUAUGUCUGGGGCUACACACGUGCUACAAUGGUCGGUACAAAGGGCAGCAAAGUCGCGAGAUGGAGCAAAUCCCAGAAAGCCGAUCUCAGUUCAGAUUGUAGUCUGCAACUCGACUACAUGAAGUCGGAAUUGCUAGUAAUGGCGGGUCAGCAACACCGCCGUGAAUACGUUCCCGGGCCUUGUACACACCGCGAGC